rnacentral:rRNA from 1 species
GAUGAACGCUAGCGGCAGGCUUAACACAUGCAAGUCGAGGGGUAUACUUCUUCGGAAGUAGAGACCGGCGCACGGGUGCGUAACGCGUAUGCAAUCUACCUUUCACAAAGGAAUAGCCCAGAGAGAUUUGGAUUAAUGCCUUAUAGUAUAACGAGUUCGCAUGGAUUUGUUAUUAAAGAUUUAUCGGUGAAAGAUGAGCAUGCGUCCCAUUAGCUAGUUGGUAAGGUAACGGCUUACCAAGGCUACGAUGGGUAGGGGUCCUGAGAGGGAGAUCCCCCACACUGGUACUGAGACACGGACCAGACUCCUACGGGAGGCAGCAGUGAGGAAUAUUGGUCAAUGGGCGCAAGCCUGAACCAGCCAUGCCGCGUGCAGGAUGACGGUCCUAUGGAUUGUAAACUGCUUUUAUACAGGAAGAAACAACUCUACGUGUAGAGUCUUGACGGUACUGUAGGAAUAAGGAUCGGCUAACUCCGUGC